UACGUAGGUGGCAAGCGUUGUCCGGAUUUACUGGGCGUAAAGGGCGUGCAGGCGGUCUGUUAAGUGCAGGGUGAAAGCUCCCGGCUCAACUGGGAGAGGUCCUUGCAUACUGGCGGACUUGAGGGGGGUAGAGGAAAGUGGAAUUCCUGGUGUAGUGGUGAUAUGCGUAGAUAUCGGGAGGAACACCUGUGGCGAAGGCGGCUUUCUGGGCCCUACCUGACGCUGAGACGCGAAAGCGUGGGGAGCGAACCGG
rnacentral:rRNA from 1 species